rnacentral:pre_miRNA from 1 species
AGGAGGAACAACCGCAGUGGGCCGCAGCUCUGGAAACCUGGAUUCAGCUCCCACAGGAACUCUGAAGCACUCCGUCUGCAGGGCCUGGAGGCUCCGGGGCGGG